rnacentral:rRNA from 1 species
GACAGAGGUGCCGAGCGUUAGGCGGAAUUACUGGGCUUAAAGAGUUCGUAGGCGGCAUUGCAAGUAGGGUGUGAAAGCCCUCGGCUCAACCGAGGAAUUGCGCUCUAAACUGCAGUGCUUGAGGAACCUAGAGGUGAGCAGAACAGAUGGUGGAGCGGUGAAAUGCGUUGAUAUCAUCUGGAAUACCGGAGGCGAAGGCGGCUCACUGGGAGUUUUCUGACGCUGAGGAACGGAAAGCCAGGGUAGCGAACGGG